rnacentral:misc_RNA from 1 species
AACACUGUUAACCUGCGGUACCUGCGGAGGGAUCAUUAACAAGCUGUGGGAGAUCAAUUUGAUCUCACACCUGGCCAACCUUGUUAACCUUAAAUAUAUUGCUUUGGUGAGCCCUGCUCACCAAAGUCAAACCCUAAACUCUUGAUUGUUUCUGCUGUCUGAGCAUGCAAGUGCAAAAUUUAGUUAAAAAACUUUCAACAAUGGAUCU